AGUGGGAUAGCUGGGUAUAAUGGUGGUUCCAUUCCAAGUUUUCCAAGGAAUCUCCAUAUUGCUUUCCAGAUUGGCUGAACCAAUUUGCAGUCCCACCAGCAAU
rnacentral:pre_miRNA from 1 species